AUUGAACGCUGGCGGCAGGCUUAACACAUGCAAGUCGAGCGGGGGAAGGUAGCUUGCUACCGGACCUAGCGGCGGACGGGUGAGUAAUGCUUAGGAAUCUGCCUAUUAGUGGGGGACAACAUCUCGAAAGGGAUGCUAAUACCGCAUACGUCCUACGGGAGAAAGCAGGGGAUCUUCGGACCUUGCGCUAAUAGAUGAGCCUAAGUCGGAUUAGCUAGUUGGUGGGGUAAAGGCCUACCAAGGCGACGAUCUGUAGCGGGUCUGAGAGGAUGGUCCGCCACACUGGGACUGGCGAACGGCCCGGACUCCGACGGGAGGCAGCAGUGGGGAAAGUUGGACAAUGGGGGAAACCCUGAUCCAGCCAUGCCGCGUGUGUGAAGAAGGCCUUAUGGUUGUAAAGCACUUUAAGCGAGGAGGAGGCUACUUUAGUUAAUACCUAGAGAUAGUGGACGUUACUCGCAGAAUAAGCACCGGCUAACUCUGUGCCAGCCGCCGCCGUAA
rnacentral:rRNA from 1 species